AACGAACGCUGGCGGCAUGCCUAACACAUGCAAGUCGAACGAGACCUUCGGGUCUAGUGGCGCACGGGUGCGUAACGCGUGGGAACCUGCCCUUAGGUUCGGAAUAACUCCCCGAAAGGGGUGCUAAUACCGGAUAAUGUCUUCGGACCAAAGAUUUAUCGCCUUUGGAUGGGCCCGCGUUGGAUUAGCUAGUUGGUAGGGGAAAAGCCUACCAAGGCGACGAUCCAUAGCUGGUCUGAGAGGAUGAUCAGCCACACUGGGACUGAGACACGGCCCAGACUCCUACGGGAAGCAGCAGUGGGGAAUAUUGGACAAUGGGCGAAAGCCUGAUCCAGCAAUGCCGCGUGAGUGAUGAAGGCCUUAGGGUUGUAAAGCUCUUUUACCCGGGAUGAUAACGACAGUACCGGGAGAAUAAGCUCCGGCUAACUCCGUG
rnacentral:rRNA from 1 species